rnacentral:rRNA from 1 species
GUAGGGGGCGAGCGUUGUCCGGAUUUAUUGGGCAUAAAGAGCUCGUAGGCGGUUUGGUAAGUCGGGUGUGAAAUCUCCACGCUCAACGUGGAGGGGCCACUCGAUACUGCCAUGACUCGAGUCCGGUAGAGGAGUGUGGAAUUCCCGGUGUAGCGGUGAAAUGCGCAGAUAUCGGGAGGAACACCCGUAGCGAAGGCGGCACUCUGGGCCGGAACUGACGCUGAGGAGCGAAAGCGUGGGGAGCAAACAGGAUUAGAUACCCUGGUAGUCCACGCCGUAAACGUUGGGCACUAGGUGUGGGGAUCUAUCGACGGUUUCCGUGCCGAAGCUAACGCAUUAAGUGCCCCGCCUGGGGAGUACGGCCGCAAGGCUA